rnacentral:rRNA from 1 species
GACGAACGCUGGCGGCGUGCCUAAUACAUGCAAGUAGAACGCACAGUAUAUACCGUAGCUUGCUACACCAUAGACUGUGAGUUGCGAACGGGUGAGUAACGCGUAGGUAACCUGCCUGGUAGCGGGGGAUAACUAUUGGAAACGAUAGCUAAUACCGCAUAAUAUUAAUUAUUGCAUGAUAAUUGAUUGAAAGAUGCAACUGCAUCACUACCAGAUGGACCUGCGUUGUAUUAGCUAGUAGGUGAGGUAACGGCUCACCUAGGCGACGAUACAUAGCCGACCUGAGAGGGUGAUCGGCCACACUGGGACUGAGACACGGCCCAGACUCCUACGGGAGGCAGCAGUAGGGAAUCUUCGGCAAUGGACGAAAGUCUGACCGAGCAACGCCGCGUGAGUGAAGAAGGUUUUCGGAUCGUAAAGCUCUGUUGUAAGAGAAGAACGGGUGUGAGAGUGGAAAGUUCACACUGUGACGGUAUCUUACCAGAAAGGGACGGCUAACUACGUGCCAGCAGCCGCGGUAAUACGUAGGUCCCGAGCGUUGUCCGGAUUUAUUGGGCGUAAAGCGAGCGCAGGCGGUUAGAUAAGUCUGAAGUUAAAGGCUGUGGCUUAACCAUAGUACGCUUUGGAAACUGCUUAACUUGAGUGCAGAAGGGGAGAGUGGAAUUCCAUGUGUAGCGGCGAAAUGCGUAGAUAUAUGGAGGAACACCGGUGGCGAAAGCGGCUCUCUGGUCUGUAACUGACGCUGAGGCUCGAAAGCGUGGGGAGCGAACAGG